UCCCGGCCGGGCCCCUACCUCCGAGCACGGCCAGCCGGAGGCGGGGCAGGGGGAGGCGGCAGGGCUAGGGGACCCCCUAACCACCGGGACCUCUCUGUCUCGCCCCUACUCUGGGCAGCCGCCUUGGUGCCAGCGCCUUUGCCUUCUAGCCCAGGAACAUUUAUUGGAUACCUACUGUAUGCGCAGCAUCGAGGCAGGUCUUGAGGUGGGCGACGGGUUGGACAAAGGGUCUCCAGGCUAAGGGACCCCGUCAAAGGGGCCAAAGGGACAGUCACCACCACGGUGAAAUCAUUUAUACCUGAGUGCAUUUUACCUGGAACAACCCUAGGGGACCAGCCACUUCACAGACCUGCAAACAGGCCUGGAGAGGGAAAAGACCCACGAAGCUUCCUCAGCUCCAUUUGGGCCCAGGGAUGUGAGAUUCGGAAUCCAUGCUCUUCACCACCCAGCUCUUCCUCUGUCUCCAAUAUAGGAAGGUAGCUGAGUCCAGGCACAGCCCCAGUCUGCCCUCCUCCCCAGCCCAGCCAGGCCCCCUGCACAUACCUGGUUCCCAGGGGUCAGGCACAGCCAGCCCAGGCAAUUCCCCAUGUGAGCCGUAGAAGCAGGCUUGGCGCAGUCCUCCUCUCCCUCUCCUCUCUCCGGGGCCCUGGCCUGGGCUCCCCGGCCCCCACCCAAGCACAGGGCUCGCCUCUGGGCAGCCUCCUGGGCCAUGGCCCCCUGGGUGCCCAUAUCCCGGCAGCUGCCCCUAAAAGCCACUUAGGCUGAGGCGCCAUGGCUGCUCGCCACCCCCACCCCUGCGAUUCCUGGCUAAGGCUGCCUCAGGCUCCCGCCCGGCCAGCCACUUCCAUCUAUCUGUCUGCAUGUCCACAGGCUGCCUGUCUGGCCUAUGGCUGGCCUCCCUGGACACAGCCUGAUGCUGCCACCCUUGGAGUCUAUGAAGAUGGCUGUGGGCAGUGUGAACCACCACCACGCACCCCACAUACCACACCUGUUUGGGCUUAGCGGUCAUCCCACACCAACCAGGUCUACCCAAAACCUGGCAGGCUGUAGCUUCGUGACCACACUAGAGUCGAGGGAGGUGGCUGGAUACCCCCUGGGUAAGGGGGCUUGCAGACCUUACCCCCCCUGGGUGGGGCAGACUCCUGAUCAGCCUUGGGCAUACACCAUCCUUCCCUGGCCCAGGACUCAGCUGAUUCCUACUCCCAGUGACUGAAGAUGGGAUGGGGGGCCGGGAGCAGUGGCUCACGCCUGUAAUCCCAACACUUUGGGAGGCCGAGGCGGGUGGAUCACCUGAGGUCAGGAGUUCGAGACCAGCCUGGCCAACAUGGCGAAACCCUGUCUCUACUAAAAAUACGAAAAAAAAUAGCCAGGCGUGGUGGUGGGCACCUGUAAUCCCAGCUACUGGGGAGGCUGAGGCAGGAGAAUCGCUUGAACCCAGGAGGCGGAGGUUGCAGUGAGCUGAGAUUGCGUCACUGCACUCCAGCCUGGGCGACAGAGCUAGACACCGUCUCAAAAACAAUAAAUAAAUAAUUUAAAAAUAAAUAAAAAAAUAAAAGAUGGGAUGGAGAACAGCAUGGCGGAGGGAAGGGCCACAAGGGACAUGAGGUCACAACCAGGGGCAGAAACCAAGAAAAUAUCACCAGACACACUGCUGCUACAGAGUAACAAAAGAGUCCCCAAAGCCACGAAGGAGCUGAAGAAGGGCUGAGGAGAGUAACAGAGUAGCAAAGGGCCGGGCAACAAAGGAAGUGGGCCUCGCAAAGCAGGGAGCAGGAGGAAUGAAGCAGCCGGAGAGGAACCAGAGGUCACAAUUUCAGAGGAGGUGCAGAGUCAGUGAGAGGGGACAGUGAGUUCAGGGGCCUGAAGGAACAGGCAAGGAAGGGUGACCUAGAAGCUCUGGGGGGCAAACCCUUCCAGGCCUCUUCUCCAGCCAGCCUCCGGAAGCUCUCAGCCCUGGUCUGAGGCUGACCUUGGCCCCCACGGGUGCUGCACUAGAGGCAGAGAAAGGCGAAGGGAAGCACUUGGGCAAAGGUGUUCAGGGGCCGCCAAGUGCUUGGUGUCUUGAAGAGAGGGCUAGGGAGGUGGACGGGAGGGAGUAGGGCCGGCAUUGAGAGGAGGGUGGACUUUAUUUUCCUGGUUCUGUGGGGUGCAGAUGGCGUGGGGGUGACGUGGGCUCCCAGGGCAGCAGCAGGAGG